rnacentral:rRNA from 1 species
CAAUAGCGUAUAUUAAAGCUGUUGCGGUUAAAAAGCUCGUAGUUGGAUUUCUGUCAAGGACAACUGGUCCGCCCCUCGGGUGAGCACAUAGUUUGGUCUUGGCAUCUUGUUGGAAACUGUUGCUGCACUUGGUUGUGUGGCGCAGUGUCCAGCACUUUCACUUUGAGGAAAUUGGAGUGUUUCAAGCAGGCACAUGCCUUUGGACACAGUAGUAUGGAAUAAUUAGAUUGGGCUUUUGCUCCAACUUGUCGGUUUCUGGAGCUGAGGUGAGAAUUAAUGGGGAUUGUUGGGGGCAUCCGAAUUUAGCCGUCAGAGGUGAAAUUCUUGGAUCUGCUAAAGACGGACAACUGCGAAAGCGUUUGCCCAGGAUGUUUUCAUUGA